UGUCUAGCAAGAGAAACUUGAGGGACAGUCGGGACCAAAUCGAGCUCCUUCUUAACCUCUUCAAAGGGCUCAAAAACAACACCAGUUAAAGGCUUAUCAUUUCCACCCUUUGAUGCACAGACUACAAACCCAGUCCCCACUUUUCCACGAAGAGUCGAAGGAGAAAGAGAAUAAGAUGACGAAGAAACAGAGGAAAACAGCGGACCCAGAUUGUCCCCACGAGUGCCCAACAAAGAGAAAGCAGGAGAAGCCUUCAGCAACAUUUUCUUAUGGAUUUCAAGAUAUAGAGAAAGGGGUUUUGAGCUUUUUGAUUUUGAAGAAGACGAGAGGACUUGAAGAAGACGAGGAGGAC
rnacentral:misc_RNA from 1 species